UGUAAGUAAAUAAUAAAUAAAAUUGUCAAAAACAUACAAAUAAGUUAUUUCUAACCUCUAGACCUACAAAUAAUUCUAAGCAGUUGGAUUUGCUGGUAGCUUUUAUGGAAACCAAUCCAAACAUAGCAAAAAAUUACUUGCCGACGAGCCAAGCCAAAGCCAAAUCCAAAAUUAUUUGGAAGGCUUUGACUGAUAAGCUAAAUGCAUGCGGUCCUCCAGAGAAACCAAUGGAUGGUUGGAAAAGUGUAUGGAAAGAUUUUGGGUACAAUCUUAAGGGCAAAAUGCGUGGAAAUUUGCUUACUUACGUUGAACUUGGAAGGCUCAUUGGGUUCGAUGAAUCUCUUAAAACUCUUCUUUUUAUACGCAUUUCCUCUUCUUUGUUAGUUUGGGAUUCAUCUUCGCUUUCAAGGAAAUAGUCGCAGUGAAAAAACAUUUUAUAGAAUUUAUGCAAAUUACAUUUAUUUUUGAAACUUC